UACGUAGGGUGCAAGCGUUGUCCGGAAUUAUUGGGCGUAAAGAGCUCGUAGGCGGUCUGUCGCGUCUGCUGUGAAAACUCAGGGCUUAACCCUGAGCUUGCAGUGGGUACGGGCAGACUAGAGUGCGGUAGGGGAGACUGGAAUUCCUGGUGUAGCGGUGAAAUGCGCAGAUAUCGAGAGGAACACCUGCGGCGAAGGCGGGUUGCUGGGCUGACACUGACGCUGAUGCGCGAAAGCCAGGGGAGCGAACGGG
rnacentral:rRNA from 1 species